rnacentral:lncRNA from 1 species
GGAGGCGGUGCUUGACAGUGGAAGUGAGCAGCGUCGGGGCGUCGAUUGUUGCCGGAAGUCAAGGAGGCUGCUUUAAACUCGUCGGAGGUCGGUGAGGUCCGUAAUGGUGGAGGUGAGUCACGGUGGUGACCGGAAGUGGGUGUCGGAGGAGAGAGAAAACAGAUCUUGAGGCUUUCUGUUUUUCUUGGUUUGUAGGUGAGGGAGAGAUGAGAAAGGGAGAAAGUUUAAUCGGCUAAGAAAAACCGAAAAGGG